GUUUAAACCCCGGGGUUUAACCGGGGGUUAAACCCGGGGUUAAACCCGGGGGUAAAACCCCGGGGGUUUAAAACCCGGGUUAAAAACCGGGGGUAAACCCCGGGUUAAAAAACCCCGGGGGUUAAAAACCCGGGGGUAAAACCCCGGGGUAA
rnacentral:tRNA from 18 species